rnacentral:rRNA from 1 species
GAGUUUGAUCCUGGCUCAGAACGAACGCUGGCGGCACGCCUAACACAUGCAAGUCGAGCGCUACCUUCGGGUGGAGCGGCGGACGGGUUAGUAACGCGUGGGAACAUACCCUUUUCUACGGAAUAGCCUCGGGAAACUGAGAGUAAUACCGUAUACGCCCUUCGGGGGAAAGAUUUAUCGGUGAAGGAUUGGCCCGCGUUAGAUUAGAUAGUUGGUGGGGUAAUGGCCUACCAAGUCUACGAUCUAUAGCUGGUUUGAGAGGAUGAUCAGCAACACUGGGACUGAGACACGGCCCAGACUCCUACGGGAGGCAGCAGUGGGGAAUCUUAGACAAUGGGCGCAAGCCUGAUCUAGCGAUGCCGCGUGAGUGACGAAGGUCUUAGGAUCGUAAAGCUCUUUCGCCAAGGAUGAUAAUGACAGUACUGGGUAAAGAAACCCCGGCUAACUCCGUGCCAGCAGCCGCGGUAAUA